AGGUUACUGCUAUCGGUAUUCGACUAAGCCAUGCGAGUUAAAUGUUCUUCGUGAACAUAGCGAACUGCUCAGUAACACGUGGAUAACCUGCCCUUAGGUUCGGCAUAACUCCGGGAAACUGGAGAUAAUUCCGAAUAAACCAUUCCUGCUGGAAUGCUUUUUGGUUCAAAGACUUCGGUUGCCUAAGGAUGGAUCUGCGGUCUAUCAGGUAGUAGUGGGUGUAAAGUACCUACUAGCCUACGACGGAUAUGGGUUGUGAGAGCAAGAGCCCAGAGAUGGAUUCUGAGACAUGAAUCCAGGCCCUACGGGGCGCAGCAGGCGCGAAAACUUUACAAUGCGGGAAACCGCGAUAAGGGGAUACCGAGUGCCAGCAUAUUAUGUUGGCUGUCCACAUGUGUAAACGGCAUGUGUUAGCAAGGGCCGGGCAAGACCGGUGCCAGCCGCCGCGGUAACACCGGCGGCCCGAGUGGUAAUCACUUUUAUUGGGUCUAAAGGGUCCGUAGCCGGUUUGAUCAGUUCUUCGGGAAAUCUGACAGCUCAACUGUUAGGCUUCCGGGGAAUACUGUCAGACUUGGGACCGGGAGAGGUAAGAGGUACUACAGGGGUAGGAGUGAAAUCUUGUAAUCCCUGUGGGACCACCAGUGGCGAAGGCGUCUUACCAGAACGGGUCCGACGGUGAGGGACGAAAGCUGGGGGCACGAACCGGAUUAGAUACCCGGGUAGUCCCAGCCGUAAACGAUGUUCGCUAGGUGUCAGGGGCGGUGCGACCGCUUCUGGUGCCGUAGGGAAGCCGUGAAGCGAACCACCUGGGAAGUACGGCCGCAAGGCUGAAACUUAAAGGAAUUGGCGGGGGAGCACUACAACGGGUGGAGCCUGCGGUUUAAUUGGAGUCAACGCCGGGAAUC
rnacentral:rRNA from 1 species